UACAGAGGUCUCAAGCGUUGUUCGGAUUCAUUGGGCGUAAAGGGUGCGUAGGCGGCGCGGUAAGUCAUACGUGAAAUCCCUCGGCUUAACCGGGGAACUGCGUCUGAUACUGGAUGGCUUGAGGUUGGGAGAGGGAUGCGGAAUUCCAGGUGUAGCGGUUGAAAUGCGUAGAGUAAUCUGGAGGAACACCGGUGGCGAAGGCGGCAUCCUGGACCAAUUCUGACACUGAGGAGCGAAAGCCAGGGGAGCAAACGGG
rnacentral:rRNA from 1 species